GAGCAGAGGAUGCAAGCGUUAUCCGGAAUGAUUGGGCGUAAAGCGUCUGUAGGUGGCUUUUUAAGUCCGCCGUCAAAUCCCAGGGCUCAACCCCUGGACAGGCGGUGGAAACUACCAAGCUGGAGUACGGUAGGGGCAGGAGGGAAUUUCCGGUGGAGCGGGUGAAAGUGACGGUAGAGAUCGGAAAGAACACCAACGGCGAAAGCACUCUGCUGGGCCGACACUGACACUGAGAGACGAAAGCUAGGGGAGCGAAUGGG
rnacentral:rRNA from 1 species